rnacentral:rRNA from 1 species
CACGUAGUUAGCCGGGGCUUCUUAGUCAGGUACCGUCAUUAUCUUCCCUGCUGAUAGAGCUUUACAUACCGAAAUACUUCUUCACUCACGCGGCGUCGCUGCAUCAGGGUUUCCCCCAUUGUGCAAUAUCCCCCACUGCUGCCUCCCGUAGGAGUCUGGGCCGUGUCUCAGUCCCAAUGUGGCCGUUCACUCUCUCAAGCCGGCUACUGAUCGUCGCCUUGGUAGGCCCGUUACCCCACCAACAAGCUAAUCAGACGCGGGUCCAUCUCACAGCGAUAAAUCUUUAGAAAGGAUCGUCAUGCGGCAAUCCCUUGUUAUGCGGUAUUAGCAGCCCGUUUCGGCUGUUCGUCCCCUCUGUGAGGCACGGUUACCCACGCGUUACUCCACCCGUCCGCCGACUCAGUCAUUACCAUCCUUCCCUCCGAAAACGUUCCGUCGGUAGCGCUUCGUUCCGUACUUGCAGUGUUGUUAAGCACCGCCGU